UCCGUAGGCGGUUUAAUAAGUCAGUGGUGAAAGCCCAUCGCUCAACGGUGGAACGGCCAUUGAUACUGUUAGACUUGAAUUAUUAGGAAGUAACUAGAAUAUGUAGUGUAGCGGUGAAAUGCUUAGAGAUUACAUGGAAUACCAAUCGCGAAGGCAGGUUACUACUAAUGGAUUGACGCUGAUGGACGAAAGCGUGGGUAGCGAACA
rnacentral:rRNA from 1 species